rnacentral:rRNA from 1 species
CCUACGGGAGGCAGCAGUGAGGAAUAUUGGUCAAUGGGCGCGAGCCUGAACCAGCCAAGUAGCGUGAAGGAUGACUGCACUACGGGUUGUAAACUUCUUUUAUAAAGGAAUAAAGUGAGGCACUAGUGCCUUUUUGUAUGUACUUUAUGAAUAAGGAUCGGCUAACUCCGUGCCAGCAGCCGCGGUAAUACGGAGGAUCCGAGCGUUAUCCGGAUUUAUAGGGUUUAAAGGGGGCGCAGAUGGGUUGUUAAGUCAGUUGUGAAAGUGUGCGGCUCAACCGUAAAAUUGCAAUUGAUACUGGCAGUCUUGAGUACAGUGGAGGUAGGCGGAAUUCGUGGUGUAGCGGUGAAAUGCUUAGAUAUCACGCAGAACUCCGAUUGCGAAGGCAGCUUACUAAACUGCCACUGACAUUGAUGCUCGAAAGUGUGGGUAUCAAACAGGAUUAGAUACCCGAGUAGUC